GGAGAGGUGACCGAGUGGCUUAAGGUGCACGCCUGCUAAGCGUGUGAGGGUUUACGCCCUCCGAGGGUUCGAAUCCCUCCCUCUCCG
rnacentral:tRNA from 1 species